rnacentral:rRNA from 1 species
CCUACGGGUGGCUGCAGUGGGGAAUAUUGCACAAUGGGCGCAAGCCUGAUGCAGCCAUGCCGCGUGUGUGAAGAAGGCCUUCGGGUUGUAAAGCACUUUCAGCGGGGAGGAAGGCGGUGAGGUUAAUAACCUCAUCGAUUGACGUUACCCGCAGAAGAAGCACCGGCUAACUCCGUGCCAGCAGCCGCGGUAAUACGGAGGGUGCAAGCGUUAAUCGGAAUUACUGGGCGUAAAGCGCACGCAGGCGGUCUGUCAAGUCGGGUGUGAAAUCCCCGGGCUCAACCUGGGAACUGCAUUCGAAACUGGCAGGCUAGAGUCUUGUAGAGGGGGGUAGAAUUCCAGGUGUAGCGGUGAAAUGCGUAGAGAUCUGGAGGAAUACCGGUGGCGAAGGCGGCCCCCUGGACAAAGACUGACGCUCAGGUGCGAAAGCGUGGGGAGCAAACAGGAUUAGAUACCCCUGUAGUC